rnacentral:rRNA from 1 species
GAUGAACGCUGGCGGCGUGCCUAAUACAUGCAAGUCGAGCGAACAGACGAGGAGCUUGCUCCUCUGACGUUAGCGGCGGACGGGUGAGUAACACGUGGAUAACCUACCUAUAAGACUGGGAUAACUUCGGGAAACCGGAGCUAAUACCGGAUAAUAUAUUGAACCGCAUGGUUCAAUAGUGAAAGACGGUUUUGCUGUCACUUAUAGAUGGAUCCGCGCCGCAUUAGCUAGUUGGGAAGGUAACGGCUUACCAAGGCAACGAUGCGUAGCCGACCUGAGAGAGUGAUCGGCCACACUGGAGCUGAGACACGGUCCAGGGUACUGCGGGAGGGAGCAGUAGGGAAUGUGCCGCAAUGGGCGGAAGCCUGACGGAGCGACGGCACGUGAGUGAUGAAGGUCUUCGGAUCGUAAUACUCUGUUAUUAGGGAAGAACAAAUGUGUAAGUAACUAUGCACGGCUUGACGGUACCUAAUCAGAAAGCCACGGCUAACUACGUG